UCAGACUAAGGAGGAAUACUGGGUAGGGGGGAAAGCAUCAGAGCAGGGCCCAUAGAGGGGUGGGGCAGGGGGAGAAAGGGUUGAGAGGUUUUGUUAAGGGUGGAGGAGUGGGAGGAGAGAUUGGUAGUGAGAGACGUGCUUAAGGGACUGCUCAGUUUGAAGUAGAUUGGAGACAUUUUCUCAUGUUUCAGCCUCCUUGGACCAAGCAAAAUAAGCUGACCUUUGAAGAGAACAGAUCUUGAGGGGGAUCUGUAGAUGGACACAGGGAGAUUCCAGGUGCCUCAGAGGGAUCAACUUGCAGUUCCAAGUUGUCCUCAGGGAAAUCUUGCCAUUUUUUGGGAUAAUGAACUGAAUUCUCAUCACAGUGGAAUACGUAUCAUCGGAAGGGAUUUUUAAAGGGCAGGGUGAGAAGUGGAUUGAGAAUUUCGCAUAGCACCAAGGUUAAACAGAAGCCAACUACGAAACAAAGCCAGAAGGGCACUCAAGCAAAUAAUCAAAAUCAAAUCCUUACCACGCUGCCAGGGACCGAUAUAUCCAGAGCAUGGGACCAGGAGCUGGACUCACGGUGGGAUCUCUGAUCAGUCACAGAAGGAACCAUGAAUAUUAAUAUAUUACAUUUCGUUUUAUAUCAUUUGUUAUAAUACUAUUUUUUCAUACAUCAAGUAGAUUAAAAUGUAUUAAUUUAUUUCUUUUUUUUUUUUUUUAAGCUUUUUUUAGACACAGGAAAUGUACAUAUCAGGCUUUGCGGAAUACAUCUGCCUGGAAAGGGCAAGAUGGAUUUAAAAUACUUUGUGAAAACCAACCAUGAUCCCAUUGUGUUUUGAAGCUCCAGGUUUAUGAGCCGUAACUCAGCAGAAGCCUAGCAUGAGAACAACUCAUCUGAAGCUCCAACAUUUGGGGAAUGCAACCUUUCGACAGACAUUUGCUGAAUGGAUAGGAGACUCCUGAAAGCAGAAUUCUGCACAUUCUGUGGACCAGCCCUGACUACGGAGAGCAGGUGUUAGCCAGUAUCCAUGCGCAGUGCCUCUUAGUCUUACCUGUCUGCUGCCUUACGCAAGCAUGGAGCUUAAUAUGCUAGCUGUGUUCUCCUAACCUCAGAUAUCUGUAAAACCAGCCACAGUAAGAUAACAUGGUAGAGCACAAAAUGCUUAGAAGAGAUUUAUUUGAAGCAAUGCUUCCCAGAAGUUUUUCAAUGCAGCUUAUGGCGAGAAACACAUUUUACAUCUCUACUCAGUACGCAGCCACUCAUACUCAACUGAAACAUCUUCUGAAACAAUAUUUCACUUCACUCUCUGCAAUACAGAAAAUACCAGAUCGUAUUGUAUGUUAUUUCAUUGUUUUAAAAUCCUGAGCCUAGCUUGCUAAUAGAUUACAACUCAGUUUGAAAAGCACAGGCUAAGGGGCUUCAAAUAGGGGUGACACAUUGAACACACACAUUUAUCACCUCUCCCUUCACAGAUCUCAUUAAAAUGAUAAUAAAGGAACAAAAUGGCAGAAAUCCACAAGGACAAACAGCAAACAAGAGGGACAUCAGCAGAUAGGCAACCUCAACAAGUAUAUCACAAUGAGUGACACACCCCCUAUAACAGCCAAUUUUGAUGGUCCUCCCAUAGCUCUUGCCUUAUUCUUUGUAAUAGGAUUCAGAUUGUUUAAAAUCCCCAUAUUCUACCGCAAAGUCAUGUUAUCAGGAAAGACCAACCCUAACCCCAGUUCCAUGGAGUAAAGAUUAAUUAAUCUAAACUCUAUUAAUUGUAUUCCCUUUAUCUGGUGAUAAGUUUAAGAGCUGAUCCCUUAAUUUUGGACAUGGGAGCACAAGAGAAACUCACUCAAGACUGGGAUUAAUUGUAGGAAAUAUUUCACAGUUUCCACAAGUCAGAAGAGCUAAUCCCAACCCUCUGUAUCUGGAACAUACACUGCUGCCAUUUUCUGCCCAUGAAGGGAAAUACCCAAGGUACUCUGGCAGAACAGAUUUUUGAAAACUUGAGUCCCUGAUGAUGUAAGUCAGCCACAAUGUUAAUCAACCCCAGAGCCACCUUAUUUCUAGACUUAUUAUGCAAGAUAAAAAAAAUCAACUUGCAGUAUGAACCACUUUUAGUUGGGUUUUAUUUCGGCAAACAUAUGCCAAGGCACAGCAUAAAAUUCCACAAGGGACAAAUCAAUGAGCCCAGAACUUCCAAUGAGGGGGACAACUAAGUCAUAUACACAAUAACUAGAAUGUAAAUGGUAUUGAACUUCAAGCACAACAUUGGAUGCUAGAAAAAAAGAAUGCCUUCAAAGUUUUAAAAGAAAACACUUUUCUACCUUGAAUUCUGCAAUCAACCAUACCAUUGAUCAAGAACAAAAGUAGAUAGAAUUAUCCUUAGACAUGCAAGGACGAAAAUUUACCUUCCAUAUGCCUUCUAGGAGCUAAUAGUUGAUGGGUUUCAGGAAAAGAAAGGAAUAUAAAUGAAAAUAAGGGAAGAGAAGGGACCUAGGAACCAGUGAGUCCAGUCAGCAGGGUGGAAGAGCUGACAGCUACACUGUGCAGUCCACACAAGAGUAGAAGGGGAAGACAUCCAGGGAAAAAUUACAUAGACUUAACAGAGUAGAAAUAUGGCAGAUCUAGUGGCAAAGUGAUCAUCAGAAAGAAAUCAAAUAUGCUGUACUGUAUAACGAAUUACCCUGAGACUUUCAGACUUAAAAUAAGCAUUUAUUAUCUUCUAUUUUCUGAGCAUGAGGCAUCUGGGAGCAGCUUAGCUGGGUAGUUUCAGCUCAGGAUCUCUUCUGAGGUUGUCAAGAUGUCAGCUGGGGCUCCAGUCAGCUGAGAGCAUGACCAGAACCGUAGAAUCAGCCUCCACCAUGGCUGACUCAUGUUGCAGUUGGCAGAAGGCCUCAGUUCCUUGCUGGCUGUGGGCAACAGGCCUCAGCUGCCUGCCACAUGGACCUGUUCAGAGGGCUGCUCAAGUGGCCUAACAUGGCAGCUGGUUUUCCCCAAAGCAAUCCAUGAGAAAGUUCGUGGGGGGGGGCUGUAAUGCCUUUUAUGACCUAGUCUCAGAAGUCACAUGUCAUUAUUUCUGCCAUGUUCUAUUUGUUAGAAGCAAUUCACUAAGUACAGCCCACUUAUAAGGCAAGGGAAAUAGGGCUCUGCAUUUUAUAAGAAUAUUGAAUUUUUGACAUGUUUUUAAACUAUUACACAUAUGCAUAUAAAAGUAGCAUGUAAGUUAAUAAGUGUGGCAAAGAGAUAACUUCAAGGGAAACAAAAUCUAAAGAAAAAAUGUAAUCCUAAUGCACCACGCAGAUUUGCUAUUAACAAUAUCGACAUAGUUUUGGUGUUAUAAAGUGAUUAUUGAUGUAAUUAAAAGCAACUAUAGGCCAAGCCCAGUGGCUCAUGCCUGGAAUCCCAGCACUUUGGGAGGUGGGCGGAUCACCUGAGGUCAGGAGUUUGAGACUAGCCAAGAUGGUGAAACCCUGUCUCUACUAAAAAUACAAAAAUUAGCUGGGCAUGGUGGUGGGUGCCUGUAAUCUCAGCCACUUGGGAGGCUGAGGCAGGAGAAUUGCUUGAUCCCGGAAGGAGGCAGCUGCAGUGAGCUGAGAUCAUGCCACUGUACUCCAGCCUGAAUGACAGACUUAAACAAAAAACUAUGCAGCUAUAUAAAGAGGGAUGAGGAAAGAUAAGAGCAUAAGGGAGCCAACUUUUCAUUAACUCUGAGGAAGCCAAUUGAUAUUACCUGUAAUUGAUAAAUCAAAAAACUAUGAUCAAGACAGUCUUGCACUGGCAAAAUAGGUCAAUGACCAUAUUUGUUCAUUGAAAAAAUAGAAAACCCAGACAGACCUCACCCAAAUAUAAUCAACUGAUCUUUGACAAAGGGGAAAGGAUAGUCUUUUCAGUAAAUGGUGCUGAAACAACUGGACAUCCACAUGCAAAAGAAUCUAGUCACAGACUAUAUCCUUCACAAAAAUUAAUUUAAAAUGGAUCAUAGAUGCAAAUGUUAAACCUAAAACUAAGACUCCUAGCAGGUCACAUAGGAAAGCAUCUAGAUGACCCCUGGGUUUGGGAAUGACUUUUUAGACAACACCAAAGAAAUGAUUAAAGAAUUGAUAAAUUGGACUUUAUUAAAAUUAAAAACUUCUGCUCUGUGAAAGGCACUGUCAUGAAAAUAAGAAAAGCCACAGAUUGGAGAAAAUAUUUGCAAGAGAUAAAUCUGAUAAAGGACUGUUAUUCAAAAUAUAUAAAAAGUCUUAAAACUCAAUAAGGAAACAACUUAAUUAAAAAUGGGCAAAAGAUCUGAACAGAUACCUCACAAAAGACAUACAGCUGGCAAAUAAGCAUAUGAAAAGAUGCUCCACAUCAUAUAUCAUUAGAGAAUUGCGAAUUAAAACGAGAUACUGCUACACACUUAUUAGAAUGGCCAAAUCUAGAAUACCGUCAACACCAAAUGUUGGCAAGGAUGUGGAGCAUCAGGAACUCCCAUUCAUUGCUGUGUGAAUGCCAAAUAGUAGUUUGGAAGACAGUUUGGCAGUUUCUUACAAAGCAACUACUUUUGCAAUAUACUCCAGAAUUUGUACUCCUUGGUAUUUACUCAAAUGAGUUAAAAACAUGUCCACACAAAACCCUGCACAUACCCUUCACUGCUUCCAUGUUGUAGCAACCAAUGAAUAAAAUUGCUAGAAACAAUGUCCUUCAAUAGGUGAAUGGAUAAACCAUCGUGCAUCAAGACAGUGGAAUAUUAUCCAGUACUAAAAAACGCAAUAUGGAAGCCAUGAAGACAUGGAAGAAACUUAAAUGCAUAUUGCUAAGUAAACAAAGCCAAUCUGAAAAGGCUACACAUGCUGUAUGAGUCCAACUAUGUGACAUGCUGGAAAAGACAACUAUGGAGACAGGAAGAUGAUCAGUGGUUGCCAGGAGUUAGAGGGGAGGGAAGGAUGACUAGGUGGAGAACAGAGGAUUUUUAGGGCAAUGAAACUGUAUAUUACAGUGAUGGAUUCAUGGCAUAAUACAUUUGUCUAAACCCAUAGAAUGUACAACACCAAGAGUAAACGCUAAUACAAACUGUG
rnacentral:lncRNA from 1 species